CUACGGGCCGCUGCAGUGAGGAAUAUUGCACAAUGGGGGGAACCCUGAUGCAGCAACGCCGCGUGGAGGAUGACGCAUUUCGGUGUGUAAACUCCUUUUAUAUGUCAAGAAAAUGGCGGUAGCAUAUGAAUAAGCACCGGCUAACUCCGUGCCAGCAGCCGCGGUAAUACGGAGGGUGCAAGCGUUACUCGGAAUCACUGGGCGUAAAGGACGCGUAGGCGGGUUGGAAAGUCAGGUGUGAAAUCCUACAGCUUAACUGUAGAACUGCACUUGAAACUUCUAAUCUAGAGUAUGGGAGGGGGAGAUGGAAUUAGUGGUGUAGGGGUAAAAUCCGUAGAUAUCACUAGGAAUACCUAAAGCGAAGGCGAUCUCCUGGAACAUUACUGACGCUAGGCGUGAAAGCGUGGGGAGCAAACAGGAUUAGAUACCCUCGUAGUC
rnacentral:rRNA from 1 species